rnacentral:rRNA from 1 species
CAGCAGCCACGGUAAUACGUAGGUGGCAAGCGUUGUCCGGAAUUACUGGGCGUAAAGGGCUCGCAGGCGGUUUCUUAAGUCUGAUGUGAAAGCCCCCGGCUCAACCGGGGAGGGUCAUUGGAAACUGGGAAACUUGAGUGCAGAAGAGGAGAGUGGAAUUCCACGUGUAGCGGUGAAAUGCGUAGAGAUGUGGAGGAACACCAGUGGCGAAGGCGACUCUCUGGUCUGUAACUGACGCUGAGGAGCGAAAGCGUGGGGAGCGAACAGGAUUAGAUACCCCUGUAGUCCCUGUCUCUUAUAC